AGUAAAUAGAUACCCGGGUAGUCCACGCCCUAAACAAUGAUCACUCGAUGUCGGGGGAUUCGACCCCUUCGGUGUCUAAAGUUAAACACGAUAAAGUGAUCCGCCUGGGUAGUACGAUCGCAAGACUAAAACUCAAAGGAAUAGACGGGGACCCGCACAAGCGGUGGAGCAUCUGGUUUAAUUCGACAGUAAACGAAGAACCUCACCAAGACUUGACAUCCCGAGAAGAUUGUCGAAAGACGAUUGUGCCGCAAGGAACUCGGUGACAGGUGCUGCAUGGUUGUCGUCAGCUCGUGCCUUGAGGUGUUCGGUUAAGUCCGUAAACGAGCGCAACCCAUGCCAUAUGUUGAAUUUUUCAUAUGAGACUGCCGGCUCCAAGUCGGAGGAAGGUAUGGAUGACGUCAAAUCAGCAUGGCCCUUAUGUCUUGGGCCACACAGGUGCUACAAUGGUAGAUACAAAGGGCUGCCGCAACGUAAGUUGUAGCCAAUCCUAAAAGUCUAUCUUAGUUCGGAUUGAGGGCUGCAAUUCGCCCUC
rnacentral:rRNA from 1 species